UCCUACGGGAGGCAGCAGUGAGGAAUAUUGGUCAAUGGCCGAGAGGCUGAACCAGCCAAGUCGCGUGAGGGAUGACGGCCCUACGGGUUGUAAACCUCUUUUGUCGGGGAGCAAGACCCGCCUCGUGCAGGCGGAGCGAGAGUACCCGAAGAAAAAGCAUCGGCUAACUCCGUGCCAGCAGCCGCGGUAAUACGGAGGAUGCGAGCGUUAUCCGGAUUUAUUGGGUUUAAAGGGUGCGCAGGCGGACCAUCAAGUCAGCGGUAAAAUCGUGGGGCCCAACCCCAUACCGCCGUUGAAACUGGCGG
rnacentral:rRNA from 1 species